GGAAUUUUGCGCAAUGGGCGAAAGCCUGACGCAGUAACGCCGCGGGGAGGAUGAAGGCCUUCGGGUCGUAAACUCCUGUCAGAAGGAAUGAAGGCUAGCAGAAGACAACACUGUCUAUUCUGACAGGAACUUCAAAGGAAGCCCCGGCUAAUUCCGUGCCAGCAGCCGCGGUAAUACGGAAGGGGCAAGCGUUGUUCGGAAUUAUUGGGCGUAAAGUGCGCGUAGGUGGUCUUAUAUGUCUGCUGUGAAAGGGUACGGCUCAACCGUGCUUGGUCGGUGGAAACUGUAGGACUUGAGGCUGGGAGGGGCUAGUGGAAGUCCCCGUGUAGCGGUGAAAUGCGUAGAGAUGGGGGAGAACACUCGUGGCGAAGGCGGCUAGCUGGACCAGUCCUGACACUGAGGCGCGACAGCGUGGGGAGCAAA
rnacentral:rRNA from 1 species